CGGUCAACGAGUUCAUCAGCAAAUACAUCGUGAAUGAGCCAAGGGACGUCGGGUACCUUGCUCAGCACCAGCUCUUUGACCAGAUCCCGGAGUUGAAGCAGGACAUCAGCAUCCCCGACUACUGCAGCCUGGGCGAUGGGGAGGAGGAGGAAAUCACCAUCAAUGCCUGGUUGACGUGGAGAAUCCCGACCUGGAAAAGUUCCCCAAGUUUGCCAAGGCCCCAUUCCUGUCCUGCAUCCUGUCUCCUGGAGAGAUCCUGUUCAUCCCGGUGAAAUACUGGCAUUACGUGCGGGCUCUGGAUUUGAGCUUCUCGGUCAGCUUCUGGUGGUCGUAGCCAGGAUAGGAGCUGAAAGGGCCUGACAUGCAGACAGCAUUCAUCUGUUCACUAAUUUCCUGGGUCCUGGAAUCUAUAGAGACAAGCAGGACUGAACCUGUGUCCUGAAGAGCCUUCACUGCCCAGUGGCAGCCCUGGGGGGCUGAGCUCCAGCACUGGACAGGCACAGAGCAGGGGCUGCCCAGGAAGGAGCACACUCCAGGCCAGGGGUGCAUGGCAGAGGAAGGUGGGGAGAGCCCAGAAGGACAUUGCAGACAGACAGCCUGCAUGGGGACUCUGGCAUCAGAAAGCCGAAUGUUUUUGGGAAACGGGUGGGUCACACAGGCAGGGGUGAAACAUGGGCUCUGAGGUUGGCUACCUGAUUCAAACCCGGCCGCGCUGUGCACCUGCUGGGUGACUUGGCCAGGAUCCCCCACUUCGCUGUGCCCAUAUGGAAAAGAGGGCAAGGCCAGUCCUCACUGCCG
rnacentral:lncRNA from 10 species